ensembl:lncRNA
GGAGAAGGUGGUGAAAAAGAGGAUACCUAGUCAGUUGCACAACGGAAUGCAUUCAACCCUCUCUGAAUCAGAGAGGUAUGGGAGCUGCCUUAAUUGACGUCAUCGGCGCCCAGGGAGCAAUUGUUGGGGGUUAACUGCCUUGCUCAAGGGCAGAACAGCAGAUAUUUUUCACCUUGCCACCUUGGGGAUUCGAACCAGCAACCUUUCAGUUAUUGGUCCAAUGCUCUUAAAUGCUAGACUACCUGUUGCAGGGAAAGAGAGAGGUAGUGGGGUUUUAGCGAUCGAGAGGGAGAAGUGAAGAGGGAGAGGUAGUGGGGGUUUAGAGAGGGAGAAGUGAAGAGAGAGGUAGUGGGGGUUUAGAGAUCGAGAGAGGGAGAAGUGAAGAGAGAGGUAGUGGGGGUUUAGAGAUCGAGAGAGGGAGAAGUGAAGAGAGAGGUAGUGGGGGUUUAGAGAUCGAGAGAGGGAGAAGUGAAGAGAGAGAUUAAAGUGGUGGCUACAGAGACAGAAAGAGAAAGAUGUAGAGACUUUUUGUGAGAGAGCGUGCAAUUUCAUUAUGUCUGCUGUAGCCCAUACCAAAUAUGGAGUGCUUGCCCCCCACUCACCUCAAAUUACCUUACCUUUUAAUGUCUGGUAUUACUACACUCCUGCAAUGCAACCCUUCCCAAUUUCAACCAUCACCACCAUUAUCCUAAUUUCUUGAGAGGGUAAAGAGGAGAGCGUUUUUCUGCCCCUGAAAUUAAGUGGGAUCUUUCACUGUGCAUAGAUGGG